rnacentral:lncRNA from 10 species
UGAGGGUCUAAUGUAGGCUCAUCCCUCGGGUUGUCACACAGGUGACGGUGACAGCCAGAGCCCUUUAGCACAGUGGGUCGUAGCAGAUCCUCACUCCAUGUGGGUCAUUACUGUGGUCGUUUCCCUCCUUGCAGGUUCUCUGACUUCAGGCGAUUAGACUUGGGGCGUUGAGGCACCUGCUUUCAAAACCACUCUGUGAGGCCAAGCGGCAGGUUGUGCGAAGAAUGGCCCAGCAUCAAGCUGGCACUCAGAGCCUUUGUUGAUUCUGAGUUAAACUUCCUGCAGCACCUUCAAGUUCAAUUCUCAGGACGAUAUGCCCACUCCUCUGCCAGUGGAGGCGGGGAUGCCGAGGUGGGGAGACCGAGGCUGGACCCUGAGAGUGAGGGCCUUCAGAAGCUUUGCAGUCUAGGCUUCUCUCCCCACAACCUGGUCUCUGCCCUGGCACCUACCUUGAAGGGUGUCUGGGCGGCAGAUUGGGGCCAGGUGGUGGAGGAUAGCUGGGCACAGAAGUUGGGUUGUGUGUUUAGGGUAGAAGGGAACCAUGGAAGUUUGUGGGGCAGGACUGUGAUCAGGAUGGCGUGGGCUUUCAGAAGGCAACUUGGGCGGGAGCAAGGAGGGGUGGGGCUAGAAAUAGGGUUGGGAGGAGCCUAUGGCCCUGCCCCUGGGAUGGGGAAGGCUGAGAGAAGCCAGCCAAGGAGGCCUCCCGAGGUCUCCUGGGUCUUGAGAAGCCUCAUAUUUCCCCCUGUGUGGUGGCUGCGGUUCACCCCGAGAGAGUGCUGGGGGGCUGCUCCUCUUCCUGGGGCUUCAUCUGCCUAAGCUACUCAAUGUAAAGGACUCCCCAGUGCUCAGCCACCAUUCCUC